rnacentral:rRNA from 1 species
AGAGUUUGAUCCUGGGCUCAGGAUGAACGCUAGCGGGAGGCCUAACACAUGCAAGCCGAGCGGUAUAGAAUCUUCGGAUUUAGAGAGCGGCGUACGGGUGCGGAACACGUGUGCAACCUACCUUAUCUGGAGGAUAGACCUUUCGAAAGGAAGAUUUAAUACUCCAUAAUAUAUUGAUUGGCAUCAAUUAAUAUUGAAAGCUCCGGCGGAUAGAGAUGGGCACGCGCAAGAUUAGUUAGUUGGUGAGGUAACGGCUCACCAAGACGAGUGAUCUUUAGGGGGGCCUGAGAGGGUGAUCCCCCACACUGGUACUGAGACACGGACCAGACUCCUACGGGAGGCAGCAGUGAGGAAUAUUGGACAAUGGGUGCAAGCCUGAUCCAGCCAUCCCGCGUGAAGGACGACUGCCCUAUGGGUUGUAAACUUCUUUUGUAUAGGGAUAAACCUCUCCUCGUGAGGAGAGCUGAAGGUACUAUACGAAUAAGCACCGGCUAACUCCGUG